rnacentral:rRNA from 1 species
CCUACGUGCGGCUGCAGUGGGGAAUAUUGCGCAAUGGGCGAAAGCCUGACGCAGCGACGCCGCGUGAGGGAUGAAGGUCUUCGGAUCGUAAACCUCUGUCAGCAGGGAAGAACGGUCACUGUGCUAAUCAGCAGUGAAUUGACGGUACCUGCAAAGGAAGCACCGGCUAACUCCGUGCCAGCAGCCGCGGUAGUACGGAGGGUGCGAGCGUUAAUCGGAAUUACUGGGCGUAAAGCGCUCGUAGGUGGUAUGUCAAGUCAAGGGUGAAAUCCCCGCGCUCAACGUGGGAACUGCAUUUGAAACUGGCAAACUGGAGUGUGUGAGAGGAUAGUGGAAUUCCAGGUGUAGGAGUGAAAUCCGUAGAUAUCUGGAGGAACAUCAGUGGCGAAGGCGACUAUCUGGCACAUAACUGACGCUGAGGAGCGAAAGCGUGGGUAGCAAACAGGAUUAGAUACCCCUGUAGUC